rnacentral:misc_RNA from 1 species
GAUGAAGAACGUAGCGAAAUGCGAUAAGUAGUGUGAAUUGCAGAAUUCAGUGAAUCAUCGAAUCUUCGAACGCACAUUGCGCCCUUUGGUAUUCCAAAGGGCAUGCCUGUUCGAGCGUCAUUUGUACCCUCAAGCUUUGCUUGGUGUUGGGCGUCUUGUCUCUAGCUUUGCUGGAGACUCGCCUUAAAGUAAUUGGCAGCCGGCCUACUGGUUUCGGAGCGCAGCACAAGUCGCACUCUCUAUCAGCAAAGGUCUAGCAUCCAUUAAGCCUUUUUUUCAACUUUUGACCUCGGAUCAGGUAGGGAUACCCGCUGAACUUAAGCAUAUCAAUAAGCGGAGGA